rnacentral:rRNA from 1 species
GACAGAGGGUGCAAACGUUGCUCGGAAUACUGGGCGUAAAGCGCGUGUAGGUGGAUUGGUGUGUCAGAUGUGAAAUCCCUGGGCUCAACCCAGGAACUGCACCUGAAACUACCAGUCUUGAGUGGUGGAGAGGGAAGUGGAAUUCCUGGUGUAGAGGUGAAAUUCGUAGAUAUCAGGAGGAACACCAGUGGCGAAGGCGGCUUCCUGGACACCAACUGACGCUGAGACGCGAAAGCGUGGGGAGCAAACGGG